CUACUGGGGCAUUAUAAUAUGUCUUGAAAUAAGGUACUGUGGUGCCUCAGUUUUGUGCAUAAUGUUCCCAAUAAUGCCUAUUGAUCGUUUGUGUUUCUAAAAUUGUACCAGUUGUAACAUCUCCCUUUGCAUCUGUGAUUUUAUGUAUUGGGGUAUUUUUUUUUUCUUAGCUAGUCUACCUGAAGGUUCAUUGAUUUUGUCAUCUUUUUUGUUUUAUUGAACUUCCCUAUUUGGGCUUGUUUUCGUUAUUUCAGUUUUUCUGCUCUGGUCUUUAUAUUUUUUCCUCCUGUUUAUUUUGGAUUUGGCUUGUUCUUGCUUUUCUAGUUCCUUGAGUCACCUCAUUAGGUUGAGGUGUAUCCCUUUUGCUGUAAGACAUUUUGUCCUUUUUCUACUUUGUGUUACCCACAGCUGCUCCUAAAGUCUGGCUUUGCCUUGUGCAAGCCCUGAGCCAGAUCAUCUGGUCAUGGGGAGGCUCUGGCCCUGUGCUGCCGGGAAUUGCAGGUGGCCUAUCACUGCCCACUCCUCGAAUCCUCAGUAAGCAGGAGAUGCCUGGCACCAGACAUGGGUCACGUUCGCGCUAUUGUGCAGACAGGAAGCAGAGAGAGCGGAUUUUAACCACAGUUUCCCCUUCCUCAUCUACACAUGUGACUGUCUCCUCCGCCAGCUUCCUAGCCCCGGGGAAGGGACAGAGUGGGAAACAUGAUCUCCAUCAUCUCCUCACUGCUUCUUCCUACAGCAUCUGCUGUGCCAGCUCCCACUAAUCAAGUGGCUUCCAAUUAAGCAGACAAAAUUCACAGAACCUCAUCGGCGGCAUCGCCAGGGAAAUGUGCAUUCGUCUGUCUUUCCAAGCAGCAAAGCCAUCCCUCUCUGGGGUGCUAAGUGUGCAAAGAUGAGCAGAAUGAGAUGCGUCCAUUGAAAGAUGGUGGCACAGCUAAGUGGACUGUUAAGAGAGAAACAGAGACAGAGAGAGACAGAGACAGAGACAGAGAGAGCCUGUACCACAUUAGUGACACAUCUAACAUGCUGUGAAGAAGACACCAACCACUUCAAUCACUUAUCUAGCUGUGGGCAGGGAGGGCCUCAUGGAGGAAGUGAUAAUUAACCUGAAUUUUGCAGAGAACUAGAAGUUUUCCAGGUAGAAAAUGGGAGGCAGAAGAUUCUUGGUGGAAUCCCUGAUGUGAGGAAAGAAAGAUGAGGAAGACAAAUGUACAGUGUUGGGAUGGCCGGGAAGAAUAGUUCCACAAAAGACAAUACAGGCAAUACAGGGCUCUGUGGUGUGUGUGUGUGUGUGCGUGUGUGUGUGUGCCUGCACAUGCCCGGUGUUAUCCACUUAAGCUCUAACCCUUAGACCCACUUGGCAGACAUUCCCAGGGAAGGUGGCUCUGAGCUAUGGGUACCCCAGCCUCCACAGUGAGCUCUUCCGAGGCCCCUGAAGCUCUGCCCCUGUGCUAGGCUAUACCUUCCACAUCUGGCUGAGCCGGGCUGUGUCACAGAAUCCCCUUUCACUGCAAGUUCGGGAUGGGGCUGGCCAGACAAAGAACUGGGCAGGGCCUGGGAAACAGGAGGGAGGGCCUGUGGUGGCGACAGAGGUGGCAUCCCUGUGCCCUCCUGCUGAUGGUUGGGGCCGGUGUACUCGUGUCCUUGGCCCUGAUUCCUGUGCAGACCUGGAGGGCCCAGGUCAUUUCCCUGGCUCUUUCUGUGGCUCUGCUUUGUUAGCGUGCAUGGGACUGGCUUCCCAGGUCUCCUAAGCCACCCUGGCCAUCACAGUGGGACCCGGGUGAGCUGGCAGAGCCCUCUCAAAUUUGCUUUCCUAGCCUCCUGCGUGUGAGUGAGGUCCAACUCCAGCGAUGAGCUCUUUGCCCCAUCAUGUUCUGCGGCCUUGUGUUCAUGGACCAGGAAUGAUACAGCACCUUCCGGCCCGAGUUUGCCACUUCUUGUCUACAAUGGGGGGGGGGGGGUCUGUUCUCCGCCCCCCCAGGCCUGGUUUCAUUGCAGCUCGCAAUUAGGUCUGUCCAUCCUACAGUGACUCUGCCCAGGGACAGAGCAGGGGCCACUGCUCUUGAGCUCCUACAGAGACACCGCUGCUGAGCUCCAGGGAGGGAAAGGACCUGAGCUCCCAGCCACGUGGUGCUGCUGCCCACGUGGUGCUGCUGCCACACCCAGGCUGUGCUCUGGAGCAGCCUGAGGCCCUGACCUUGGGUUCGUCCUUGGAGACUGGAAACUGACCCAUGUACGCUCACUCUAUCAUCUACACUGUGCACUGUCUGUUUCUCCAUCUGAUUUCGGAAGGGGGCAGUUCACAUGGUGUGAUAGUUAUGUCUGCAUGUUCCUCAAAGCUCAUGGGAGGAACUUGGGGAGGUGACUGGGUCAUGGGGGCACAGCAUGUAUCAGUGGAUUGUCUCCCUGAUGAGUUUAUAGUUGAUGUGAUGCUGGGAGGUGAAAUAAGAAGAAGUGGGUCACUGGGAAUGGCCAGAAGGGUCCAUCUGCCUUUGCUCCCUUGAUCCCUCUGCUCCCCACCACCAUGCCAUGGACUCUCUCCCCUCUGCCAUGCUGCCCUGCCUUGGAACCAGCUGACCACGGACUGAAACUUCACAAACUGAGUCAAAACAAACCUUUCUUAACUCGUGCAUGUCAGGAUUGUGUCCUAGGGGUGAGAAAAGUGAACAGGCCACCUCUGUGCCUUCAAAGAUAGUUGCUGCUAAACAUCUGUUUAAGAGAAGAUAUGGCGGGACUGCUGUUGAGGAAGGAAGAGGGAGGAGUGGAUGGAUCAGGCUGGAGGGGCCUUCAGUUGGGGAGGGAGGGACGCUACGCAGCUGCAAGACCCCAACCUUAGCUCCACACAGGUGUCUCCUCCAUCCACACUUGGGACAUCUUCCAUGCCCAGGGAAGCCUUUGGGGGUCUCUGUCCUCCCCAGCCCAGCAGCUUCUGCCAUCAGGACAGUCAGCUGGAACAAGUGUCCUCCAUGUGGUCGAUGGAGGAAGACAGACAUAGGCUCUUGCACAUGCAGAACGUGGGGCCAUUUUCUGGCUCUCACUUGUUCGUUUCAGACACUCCAUGGAGCUGAGACUGCAGCAGCUCCCCUCUCUGAAAGGCCUUGUGGGGUCAGAGGGCCAAGCGUGAUGCCAGCACAGUGGGGCUGUCAUGGUCUCUACAGCCCUUUAGGUCCUCCCACGUGCACCUGACUUCCUGGCACUGAGGGGCCACCUUGUUCUAAAUCUCCUGUCAUUUGUAUCCUGAGACAUUACCUGGCCUGUGCCUUUCCAACUUGGGAUGUCUGGAGCUCUGUCCUUCUCUUCCUGAGCAGGGUUUGUAGAUGGUGAACUGUGAUGAUGGGCUGGUGUUGUCGCAUUGGGGAACCCCAAUGUGGUCCCACAAAUGGCUGGUGCUGACUAAACCUUCCAGGGGAUGACUCAGGAAGCUCAGAGGCUUGUUCUCUCUGCAGCCGUGGGCUAUGUUGUAGCCCGGUAGAAGUGCACUUGCCCCAGAACAUUUGGGAUCUUGAGUUCCCAUUCAAGCCUGCAAAAAGAAGCAGAACCCAUGGGCAUGUGUGCUCCAGGUGUCACUCCUCGUGCCCUCUGGGACCUGGCUCCUGUGAUGAUCAAGCAAGACUGGGCGUUCCUGGAUCGGGUUGGCAGCAGCCUCCAGAUGCGCUCCUGACUGUUCCUGGGAUGCUGACAAAAGUGACUGCGCUGUGGUUGGUGUCUGCAGAGCCCAGCAGGCUCUGGGGAAGCCCAGCAUGGAACCUCUUGAGUGACAGCAAGUAUCCUCUGACGCAAGGGGAGGGACACUGACCUAAGUCAUCCCCAUUAAAAGAAGCAUCCGAUUGAUGAAUAUUGCAACAGUCUCCUUGGGAAAACACGGCAGCCCCUAUCCAGGAGGAGGAGCCUGGGGCUCUAGGGCCCUCACUUCAUCAGCGUUCCGACAGUUAUGAAAUCAGAGUCCCAUCUCGGCGUGGGGAUGGAUGUCAUGGAAACUGGAGGAAUCUGAAAACACUGCCUCCUGUGUUCCCACAUGGGUCCCCUGGGCUGAGCGCGUUGGCCUCCACAGCUCAACAGAAAACACUCCUUCCUUCUCACCCUGCUUCCGGGCUGCCACGGGAAGCACCCAUUUCUCCGCCUUGCAUCUCUGCCGUGGUUUUUCUACCUUGAGGCCCGCCAACUGUGGACUGAAACCGAUGGCUGGGGCCACCGGCUGGCAGAGAUGGCAUCUGGGAACCGCUUUGGUGCGAAGGGCAGGCGCAGUCACAGAAGGUGGGGGACCGUUUGCUUCGAAUGUUUUACUGUUUGUAACAAAGGCUGAGGAUGGUUGAGCGUGUUUGGUUGGGGAUCAUUAAAAUCCUGAAGCUGGUGGCUUUUAAAAGCUGCCUCUGCCUGGCAAGCAGGUGACAGGGAGAUGGAAACAUCAGGCUUCCUUCUGUUCUUUCUCCUUCCUGCUUCUGCUCUACUUCCCUCCCUCCUGCCACUUGCCUUCCCAUCCCUCAGUCAAGCUCACAGUCCAUGAGCUUUAACUCCCAACAGCAGCCCGUGUAGAGAGGAGAUGAUCCCCUUUCCAGGGAGCUUGAACAAAAGAGAAAGAACUGGCGGAGGGGCGCAGAUGGAGAUGAGUGCGAGAUGCCACAGCAUGAGGUGGGGGCUCUGGGACCUUUGGGUGGCUCGCAGUCAGGGAAGCUGCCUGGGGAGGACGCCCCAAGUGGAGAGAGGUCCUCUGUCCUGUGCAAUUUGUCUUGCUUGCUCCUGCUGCUACAGAACGUGUGCAUGCAAUCCCAGGGCUCUGAGAGCCUGAGAUAGAGGAUUGUGAGUUUGAGUCUCAUCUGGACAGUGUGGCCUCAGAGAUGCAGCUUAGCGUGAAGGCCCUGUGUCCUAUUUCAAACAUGGACAAAAACAUGGGUAAGUCCAAGUUAUGCCUUCCUAGGUAUGGUCAGGUGGGAGGGCCGGUGGGCACCUCUCCCAUCUUCCUGGAACCUGGACAUUAGCAGUUCAACAACAGCCGUCCUGCUGGCUUGGGAAGUUUAGAUAAAGCUGGUUACAAAGGAAAGCAAGGCUCAGCCAACCUCAGUCUCUCUCCCUCUCUGUGUCUCUUUCCGCCCACGGGAUAUAAAUGAAGCCAGAGUUACAGCAGCACCCCCGGUAUUCCUGACCUUCCACAGUGUCACUCCACUUUUCUCUCUCCUUAUUCCAAACAUCCACUUACCCUCCCCCGAAAUUGCUGAUCACAACCGGGUUCUAGGAACAACUCAGCCCAGUUGAUUCCUGGUCACCGGCAAGAACCGGGUCAGGUCUGGCCAUUCUUGGGGGCUGUUUUCACAGUGCACCUCUGCUUCAGUGAGCAGUGCUUCACUGUUUGGCCAUGUCAGUGUGGUAAAGGAAGAGGGGCACCUGGAGAGUGGUCAGUCAUGCUGGGACCCGGAAACCCUCCCUGGGUCGACUUCAGAAUUCUGCAGUCAGUGAAAGUCAGGUUGAUGAAAUUUCAUGUCUGGGACAAUCAGCAUUUGAGCAUUUUUGAGGGGCAGUGUGGGAGAUUUCAUGGCCCAAUGCUGAAAUUCCUUUGACAUGCAGGACAGCCUGUUGAGGAUGGUGAUGAGGAUGAUGCUGCCCCAAAAAAAGAAAUUCAGGUAGACCAAUCCUAAAAGAGGCCGGAGAACUAAGCGGGCUUAAUCCAGGUGGUCUUUCAUCUUCCUGCUCAUCACUUUCACUUGCAUCUCUUUUUUGGUUGUUUUCAGUGGCACAGUGCAAAUAACAGUUUGAUAAUAGUGUGAUCAUCAAUUGACUGUUGUGAGCUUGAGAAGUUUAGUAAGAGAAAUUUAACUAAAUCAGCACAGCAGUUCCACACCGUAAGGUGCAGAAGACACAGCCCAGGUGGUUCCUCGCCUGGAUGAUAGGAAGGGGAAAUGCGGCAGGACGGAUCUGCUUCUCUUCUUCAGAGGAGCCCCAGCCUUCGCCUGCAGCUUGGACAUCAUCUCGGGCUUCCAGUGCAGACUCGUUGGCAUCUGGUGCGAAUUCUGCAUCCUCCCAGCACUGACCGGUCAGCCUUCUACCGCAGACCCUUCGGCCUCCUGACAGGAACCCGAGAGGGAUGCUGCAGUGAGCCCCAGACCUUGGGCUGGACGCUUCAGUCUCCAGCACUCAGGUGUCCUCUGCACGCUUCCUCAUCCAACCCUGCAGGUGACCAUCGUAAGCUGAUCUUGUCAUUUCUUACAUAUUUGUAUAUCUGGUGUUGUGUCUGUUUUCUAGGAAUCCUGACUGAUCCAACUAGAGUCUUUUUUUUUUUUUUAAUCGGGGAAAUGACUUUAGAACGAAAGGAAUGGGUUUCUGGAAGCUCCAUUUUAUCCUACAUUGUGGUACUUCAUUAAACUGCUUUAAACCA